CGAAAGUGCUGGUAAUACCUGAUAACAUCCAGAAAUCGCAUGGUUUUUGGAUCAAAGAUUUAUCGGUUCAGGAGCGGCCCAUGUCCUAUCAGCUUGUUGGUGGGGUGAUGGCCUACCAAGGCGACGACGGGUAGCCGGCGUGAGAGCGUGGCCGGCCACAUCGGGACUGAGACACUGCCCGGACACCUACGGGUGGCUGCAGCAACGAAUAUUCCGCAAUGGGGGAAACCCUGACGGAGCGACGCCGCGUGGAGGAUGAAGUCCCUCGGGAUGUAAACUCUAAUAGUAUGUCAGGAAGAACUGACCAGCAUACGAAAGGGGUGGCUAACUCCGUGCCAGCAGCCGCGGUAACACGGAGACCCCAAGCGUUGUUCGGAAUUACUGGGCUUAAAGAGCGUGUAGGCGGAACGGUAAGUACCUUGUGAAAGCCCUGGGCUCAACCCAGGAAUUGCUUGGUAUACUGUCGUUCUUGAGGCAGGCAGGGGUCACUGGAACCUUAGGUGGAGCGGUGAAAUGCGUAGAUAUCUAAGGGAACGCCUGUGGCGAAAGCGGGUGACUGGGCCUGUCCUGACGCUGAGACGCGAAAGCGUAGGGAGCGAACGGGAUUAGAUACCCCGGUAGUCUACGCCGUAAACGAUGCGCACUAGGCUCGAGGAUACUGACAUUUUCGAGCCGAAACAAAAGCGUUAAGUGCGCCGCCUGGGGAGUACGGCCGCAAGGCUAAAACUCAAAGGAAUUGACGGGGGCUCACACAAGCGGUGGAGCAUGUGGAUUAAUUCGAAGCAACGCGAAGAACCUUACCUGGGUUUGACAUGCACGGAUGCCCUUUCCGAAAGGAGAGUAAGCUGCCUUCGGGUGAAACGUGCACAGGUGCUGCAUGGCUGUCGUCAGCUCGUGCUGUGAAGUGUCGGGUUAAGUCCCUUAACGAGCGAAACCCUUGUCGCUAGUUGCCAGCGGGUCAUGCCGGGAACUCUAGCGAGACUGCCGGCGUUAAGCCGGAGGAAGGUGGGGAUGACGUCAAGUCAUCAUGGCCUUUAUGCCCAGGGUGUCACACGUGCUACAAUGGGACGUACAGAGCGACGCGAGACCGUGAGGUGGAGCAAAUCGCAGAAAGCGUCCCUCUGUUCGGAUUGGGGUCUGCAAUUCGACCCCAUGAAGUUGGAAUCGCUAGUAAUCGCGCAUCAGCCAUGGCGCGGUGAAUAUGUUCCUGAGCAUUGUACACACCGCCCGUCAAGUCAUGGGAUCGGGA
rnacentral:rRNA from 1 species